UGUAUGCAUUCUAUGUGAAUGCAUAUAUUUGCCAAAAGAGGACAUCAAGUCACUGAAAUCAGAGGUAUUGAAGUUAAGAACCACCUUGUGGGUGCUGAGAAUUGAACCCAGGUCCCCUGGAAGGACAAAUAAUACUCUUAACAAUAAAGCAACUUCUUCACCAUCAAGUUAUUUCUACUUUAAAAACACAUUAAGUAGGAAAAUAGCUUUUGUGCUUUAUCUAGUAGAAACCUUUAUUUGUUUAGUUCUCAGCAAGCCAAUUGCUCUCUUGUUUUCUUAUUGUAUAACACAGUAAUAACUUUAUUCUUUGCACAGAAUUCUUCUUAGGUCUUGGAUUACUAGAAAGCUUAGUGAGUGGCACAUACCUGUAUUCCCAGGCUUGGGACAUGUUCAAAGACAGGUUUAAUUUUGUGUGACACAACUUUUGUGAACUAUAAAGCAAGUUUAGGCAAGUCAGGUCUAUAUAUUGAUAACUGGUCUCAACAAACCAACCAACAAACCAAUCUCCUCAAAAAUAAAAUGUAUAACAAAAGAAUGUAUAGCAUAUUCUUUCAGCCUUUUGCACAAAGCAAUCUCUUAUUUUAUCAUCAUGAACCAAUCAGGCCAUUGCGUUGACAUGAGUCAAGUAUUCAUGUCACUAAGUCAGAAAGAGACUAAUGAAUGUGUUUUUCUUUUUGCUAAUUCCAUUUACUAAUGAUUUCAGAAUAACAGGUUAAUAGAAAUUACCUCAAAUAGGGAAAGAAUGAAGGUCAACUUAAUAUUCAUGUCUUUAAUUUGAUGGUUCAAUUUCAUUAGUAGUUUAUACAUAUGUACAUACAGUCUGACAUAGUCAUGAAAACACAAAUGGAGGGUAGUGUGGUGAGAUUGUUUAACAAUAUAUAAGGACCCUUGAAAUUAACACAUUAAGAAUCAGUUUCUGAAGUUGGUCCCUGGACUAAAAAAUUCCCUUUCAUUUAGAAAAACCAUUCAGUGAAGUAAGUAAAAAAAUGAUUGUUGAACAAGUUAUUUAAUACAUUUAGCAUUUUGUGGUAAAGCUGAAAAUUUCAAAUCAGGUGAAAGAUCAUCUAAUUUUAUGAAAUUAAAGAUUUUCUGACAAAUUUCUCUUUAUAAAUUUAGUAAAAAUAUUUCAUAUGCAAAACACCACCUUAAAAAUGCUAGAUAAGCCAUACCUUUUUUAUCACACAUUAUUAAAUUAGAAAAUAUAUUGUUUUUGUGGUUGUUUAUGGGAUGGACUUUUCCACCUGGGGAUCCAUCCCAUUAACAACCACCAAAACCAGACACUAUUAUGGAUGCCAACAAGUGCUUGCUGACAGGAGCCUGAUAUAGCUGUCUCCUGUGAAGCUUUGCCAGUGCCUG
rnacentral:lncRNA from 1 species